rnacentral:rRNA from 1 species
CCAGACCUGACUGCUAUCGGAUUGAUACUAAGCCAUGCGAGUCGUUGUAGCAAUACAAGGCAUACGGCUCAGUAACGCGUAGUCAACCUAACCUAUGGACGGGAAUAACCUCGGGAAACUGAGAAUAAUGCCCGAUAAAACAUUAUGCCUGGAAUGGUUUAUGUUCCAAAUGAUUUAUCGCCAUAGGAUGGGACUGCGGCCUAUCAGUUUGUUGGUGAGGUAAUGGCCCACCAAGACUAUUACAGGUACGGGCUCUGAGAGGAGUAGCCCGGAGAUGGGUACUGAGACACGGACCCAGGCCCUAUGGGGCGCAGCAGGCGAGAAAACUUUGCAAUGUGCGAAAGCACGACAAGGUUAAUCCGAGUGAUUUCUGCUAAAGAGAUCUUUUGUUAGUCCUAGAAACACUAACGAAUAAGGGGUGGGCAAGUUCUGGUGUCAGCCGCCGCGGUAAAACCAGCACCUCAAGUGGUCAGGAUGAUUAUUGGGCCUAAAGCAUCCGUAGCCGGCUUUGUAAGUUUUCGGUUAAAUCCAUGUGCUCAACGCAUGGGCUGCCGAAAAUACUGCAUAGCUAGGGAGUGGGAGAGGUAGACGGUACUCAGUAGGUAGGGGUAAAAUCCUUUGAUCUAUUGAUGACCACCUGUGGCGAAGGCGGUCUACCAGAACACGUUCGACGGUGAGGGAUGAAAGCUGGGGGAGCAAACCGGAUUAGAUACCCGGGUAGUCCCAGCUGUAAACGAUGCAGACUCGAUGAUGCAUUGGCAUAAUAGCCAUUGCAGUGUCGCAGGGAAGCCGUUAAGUCUGCCGCCUGGGAAGUACGUACGCAAGUAUGAAACUUAAAGGAAUUGGCGGGGGAGCACCACAAGGGGUGAAGCCUGCGGUUCAAUUGGAUUCAACGCCGGG